UACGUAGGGGGCAAGCGUUGUCCGGAUUUAUUGGGCGUAAAGAGCGUGUAGGCGGCCAGACAGGUCCGUUGUGAAAACUCGAGGCUCAACCUCGAGACGCCGAUGGAAACCGUCUGGCUAGAGUCCGGAAGAGGAGAGUGGAAUUCCUGGUGUAGCGGUGAAAUGCGCAGAUAUCAGGAAGAACACCGAUGGCGAAGGCAGCUCACUGGGACGGUACUGACGCUGAGACGCGAAAGCGUGGGGAGCAAACAGG
rnacentral:rRNA from 1 species